UGUUCACUUGCUGCCUAAUAUAUCCCACCCACUGACAGGGAAACAGACAUCAGUUCUGACUGCAUCUGUAGGAAUCAAAAUGGUUGUUCUGGUUCUCAUCCUCUGUCCCUCUGGAUUCAUCUGGUUCAGAGGGAAUUCCACCUCCUCUGACAGAAAUACCAGAGACACAGAAGACAAUGGACAGAGUGUCCAUCCUGGUACUAACAGUGACAUGUACUCAUCCCUGAACAUGAAGACCAGGUCACCUGACUAUGACACCCUGGUAAGUGUCAGACAUCUAGAAACACCCUAAGCAUUCUGAUUAUGAGAACUAAAGAGGCCCCCUAAAGAACCUGGACUGAAAAGAACCACCACCAAACCUGAACUAAAGAGAACCACCACAGAACCUGGACUGAAGAGAACAAACCACAGAACUGCCACAAAAUUCAAAUCUAGUUUUAACAUUUUCAUUCUAUUUCUAUAAUUCCUCUACCCUAUAUUGAAGAUGUCCAGAUGAGCUUAACCAAACAGUUGGUGGUGAAUUAUGUUUCAUGGUAAUGAUAAUGAUGAUUAAGUAUAUUGAUGAUUAAUUGUACAGAUUAUGCACCGGAUACUAUUUGUGUUAGUGACCAAUAUGAAUAAUAUUGACAAUAGCUUUAGAUACAUAUUGUGUUGUUUUUGUAGAAUUUGGACAAAGCUGUUGAAUUAACUUUUUUAUAUCAUUCAUAGAUCAGUGAAUCAGUCAGUCACUUACCCAUGAUGCAUCACAUGACCCUCUAAAACACAUCUGGUGCGCAUAAGAAAGACAUCCCUGUACUGUCUUGAUUCCUGUCAUAGAGUUGAAUAGAGGGAGCAUCCUUGCUGGUGUCCCACAAUGGCUUCUGACACGGCAAAAGCAACUGUCUCCAUUUUAAAAGCAGAGUUUAUUUUGGGGUACGCAAAUAAUUGCUUUCUUCUUCUACUACUUUUUUGUAGCCGUAAACAAUUGAAAGAGGUGAAUACUAAACCCAGGUUUUGUUAAAAGAGUGUCCUCAGUUGAAAUCUGUGGUCCCUGACUAGUUCAAAACUGUCUCUAUAAUUCAUUACACUGUCAUCAUGUUGACUGUCAG
ensembl:lncRNA